rnacentral:rRNA from 1 species
ACGAAGGGUGCAAGCGUUACUCGGAAUUACUGGGCGUAAAGCGUGCGUAGGUGGUUCGUUAAGUCUGAUGUGAAAGCCCUGGGCUCAACCUGGGAAUUGCAUUGGAAACUGGCGGGCUAGAGUACGGUAGAGGGUAGUGGAAUUCCUGGUGUAGCAGUGAAAUGCGUAGAGAUCAGGAGGAACAUCCGUGGCGAAGGCGACUACCUGGACCAGUACUGACACUGAGGCACGAAAGCGUGGGGAGCAAACAGGA